rfam:Rattus norvegicus chromosome 5, whole genome shotgun sequence.
GGAGAUUUAGCUCAGUGGUAGAGCACUUGCCUAGCAAGCACAAGGCCCUGGGUUCAGUCCCCAGCUCUG